UACGUAGGGGGCUAGCGUUGUCCGGAAUCAUUGGGCGUAAAGCGCGUGUAGGCGGUCCGGUAAGUCCGCUGUGAAAGUCGGGGGCUCAACCCUCGAAUGCCGGUGGAUACUGUCGGGCUAGAGUGCGGAAGAGGCGAGUGGAAUUCCUGGUGUAGCGGUGAAAUGCGCAGAUAUCAGGAGGAACACCUAUGGCGAAGGCAGCUCGCUGGGACGUAACUGACGCUGAGACGCGAAAGCGUGGGGAGCAAACAGG
rnacentral:rRNA from 1 species